CUCGUGUUUUAGGCUUAAAUGGGGAGUCGGGCCUGCCCGGUGAGAAGUUCUUUAACGGCCGCGGUACUCUGACCGUGCAAAGGUAGCAUAAUCAUUUGCCUUAUAAUUGAAGGCUGGUAUGAAUGGUUUGACAAGAAUAUAACUGUCUCUUUGAUGAUUUGAUAGAAUUUUAUUUUUAGGUGAAAAAGCCUAGAUUUGAUUAAAAGACAAGAAGACCCUAUCGAGCUUUAAAGAAUUAAGUGGAUUAAGGAUGAUAGAUGCUUAUAGUAAUAUAGAGGGUAGAGCCGCUUAGUAUUUUGGUUGGGGCGACUGAGGAACACGUAAAGCUUCCUUUUUUACUUUUCAACUUUCAGGUAUUGAUCCAAUUAUAUUGAUUAAGGGAAUUAGUUACCGUAGGGAUAACAGCAUUAUCCUCCUUGAGAGCCCAUAUCGAAAGGAGGGUUUGUGACCUCGAUGUUGGACCAGAAUGUCCUGAAGAUGUAGAAGUCUUCGAGGGUUGGUCUGUUCGACCAUUAAAAUUCUA
rnacentral:rRNA from 1 species